GUAGAUUUAUUAUGUAGAUUUACAUAGAUUACAUAAGUAUUUAUUUUGACGGUUGUUUGCAUAUGGACAUUUUUACGAUAUAAUAUUUUUUAGGUGAUAAUGCGAAGAUAAUGCGGAAUGGAAUAGAUAAAAGGUUGAAGAAGGAAAGAUAUAUUUUUGCCAAGUUGUGCGUGACUUUGCGUAUAUUCCUCAUCAAGAAAGCGUAUACCUGUUCCAGAGUAUUUCUAAACACCGUUCCGCUCUAUUUUCAGGACUAAGGUUCGAAUAUUAGCAGCUGCAACGUAACACGGUUUCCUUUAUUCGUAGAACGAGACCAGUAGGAGGAUAUUUAUGGAAAUAACACACUUUAGGAAGGUAAGUAUGGAAAAGGUAAGUAUAGGACUGUUCUCAGUCCAUUAGUAUAUAAGUAAAAUGGCCAAAAAGGCAAAAAAUUUAAAAAAUAUAUCAACUGGAAGAGGUAAGUAUUAAAAAGGUAAGUAUAAGGUAAGUAUAAGGUAAGUAUAUCAAAUUUCAGAAAAAUACACGUAAUAGCUCUUCUAGAAUUAUAUUCUCCUAAUACAAAAUCAAAGAAGUAGAUAAAAUUUUCUCCAUUAGAAUUCCUGGUAAAAUUCUACGUGCCACCUCCUAUAGAAUUAUAUUCUCCUAUUACAAAGACGAAAAUUUCGACAAAGAUUCUCACAGCUUGAAUUUUCGACUUUUUAUUAGGAGAAUAUGAUACGUGAAGAGGUGGCACUCGAAAUUUUUCUCGAAAUUUAAAGUCCAACAAUUUCUGCCCAAAUUUUUGACUUUUUAUUAGGAGAAUAUGAUACGUGAAGAGGUGGCACGAGAAAUUUUUCUCGAAAUUCAAAGUCCAACUAUAUCUGCCCAAAUUUUCGACUUUUUAUUAGGAGAAUAUGAUACGUGAAGAGGUGGCACGCGAAAUUUUCCUCGAAUUUAGAUUGCUAAUAAUUCUGUCUAAAAAUUUCGACUUUUCAUUAGGAGAAUAUGAUACGUGAAGAGGUGGCACUCGAAAUUUGUCUCGAUCUUAAAUUGC